UACGUAGGGGGCUAGCGUUGUCCGGAUUUAUUGGGCGUAAAGAGCGUGUAGGCGGCCUGGUAGGUCUGCUGUGAAAACUCGAGGCUCAACCUCGAGAUGUCGGCGGAAACCAUCUGGCUAGAGUCCGGAAGAGGAGAGUGGAAUUCCUGGUGUAGCGGUGAAAUGCGCAGAUAUCAGGAGGAACACCGGUGGCGAAGGCGGAUCUCUGGAACGGUACUGACGCUGAGACGCGAAAGCGUGGGGAGCGAACAGG
rnacentral:rRNA from 1 species